UACGUAGGAGGCAAGCGUUUGUCCGGAGUUACUGGGCGUAAAGCGUACGCAGGCGGUCCAAUCAGUCUAUAGGGACAGGGCACAGCUUAACUGUGUCAGGCUUAUGGAAACUGUUGGACUUGAGGGCUUCAGAGGGAUGGGGAAUUCCGGGUGGAGUGGUGAAAUGCGUAGAGAUCCGGAAGAACACCAAAGGCGUAGGCACCAUCCUGGGGGAGUCACUGACGCUCAUGUACGAAAAGCUAGGGGGAGCGAAACGGG
rnacentral:rRNA from 1 species